UGUCGCGGCAGCUGUACGCGGGAUAUCUUCGGGUAUGCCGGUUUUGCUUCUUUGGCCGGUCGGUCAACCCGCGUAUAGCUGCCACCCUA
rnacentral:antisense_RNA from 1 species